AGAAGGGUGGCAUAGUGGUUUGAGUGUCGUUGGACUACGACUCUGGAGACCCGGGUUCAAUUCCCUGCUCAGCCG